CGUCUACUUCUCUUUCCGUUUAUUUUACCUUUUAAAACGUAAGAACAAAACGUGAAUAUCGUUGAUGAAACAAAUGUUAAUUCAAGUACAAAUGAAAGAGGGCAUCUAUCUAUGUGUUAUUAACUGUUUUUAGUUGAUUGGGGUAUGUACGGGCAAAAUGUUAAUGAUUCGGAAACGGCAAAAAAAUUAAAAUGAUUUGAAAACUGAGAAACGUAAAUAGUAUAGAAUAAAAAAGUUACUAAAAGUGAAAACGGCAAUAUAUAUUUACGUACAAUUUCACGUGAACUAAUUUUCUUGGAAACGUAAUGUAUUC
rnacentral:lncRNA from 1 species